UGGGGAAUAUUGCACAAUGGGCGCAAGCCUGAUGCAGCCAUGCCGCGUGUAUGAAGAAGGCCUUCGGGUUGUAAGUACUUUCAGGUGGGAGGAAGGUGGUUAGGGUAAUAACCUUAUCAAUUGACGUUACCGGCAGAAGAAGCACCGGCUAACUUCGUGCCAGCAGCCGCGGUAAUACGGAGGGUGCAAGCGUUAAUCGGAAUUACUGGGCGUAAAGCGCACGCAGGCGGUUGAUUGAGUCAGAUGUGAAAUCCCCGGGCUUAACCCGGGAAUUGCAUCUGAUACUGGUCAGCUAGAGUCUUGUAGAGGGGGGUAGAAUUCCAUGUGUAGCGGUGAAAUGCGUAGAGAUGUGGAGGAAUACCGGUGGCGAAGGCGGCCCCCUGGACAAAGACUGACGCUCAGGUGCGAAAGCGUGGGGAGCAAACAGG
rnacentral:rRNA from 1 species